GUCUCAUUCCCUCUUUCUCUCAUUCCCUCUCUCUCUCUCAGGUCUCAUUCCCUCUCUCUCUCUCAGGUCUCCUUCCCUCUCUCUCUCAGGUCUCAUUCCCUCUUUCUCUCAUUCCCUCUCUCUCUCUCAGGUCUCAUUCCCUCUCUCUCUCUCAGGUCUCAUUCCCUCUCUCUCUCAGGUCUCAUUCCCUCUCUCUCUCAGGUCUCAUUCCCUCUUUCUCUCAUUCCCUCUCUCUCUCUCAGGUCUCAUUCGCUCUUUCUCUCAUUCCCUCUCUCUCUCAGGUCUCAUUCCCUCUUUCUCUCAUUCCCUCUCUCUCUCUCAGGACUCAUUCUCUCUCUCUCUCAGGUCUCAUUCUCUCUCUCUCUCAGGUUUCAUUCCCUCUUUCUCUCAUUCCCUCUCUCUCUCUCAGGUCUCAUUCUCUCUCUCUCUCAGGUCUCAUUCCCCCUCUCUCUCUCUCUCUCUCAGGUCUCAUUCCCUCUCUCUCUCUCUCUCUCUCUCUCUCUC
ensembl:lncRNA